ACCCGGAAGGGAGGGAGACACCGAGGGUAGAGGUUCUGUUGCUCAAGGGGCGUGAGGGGCUGUCUGGCUUCAGUUUCUAGCUUGGGGGGAGGAGUCACCUCUCUCUGAGCCCCGGGAAUAACAGGAAUGCCCAUGUCAGAUCUACCCAGCCUGCGCACUGCAAGGCACGAUGUUCGCCCCGCCUAAUCUUCAAAGCGGCCCAUGACCGCCCGACACCCCCUCAACAGCGACGCCGCUGUCACUCCUCGCCUCGAGGGCCAUCAUGCCAUGGGGAUUUAUCGCUUCUCUGGGAGCACUGCUCUCACUUUUCAAAUGUUGAAAUGUUUAUUUAUGUUUAUGUUUACGUGUUUAUUUAAUUUGCACUGCCAUAACUAUCACUGUA